rnacentral:lncRNA from 1 species
AUGGCUACCACAGGGCCGCGGGGGCCCGCCGGGAGCUGUCGCGGCCAUUGGCUCCGCCCCCUUUCGCCCCCGCGCGCUGAUUGGCGUUUCCCGGGAGACCGCCGCGCCCGGUGGGGCAGGGCGGGUGCUGGUGGCAGUCAGCGGCGGUUCCCGCGCCGGGUGCCGCGCUCCUCAAGGGCCGCCGGUGCUGGGCGGCCGGGAGCGCGCCUCGCGAGGCCGCCCUGGGCACUAGGGGCGGGGAAGGAGCGGUUUGAGAGGCGCCUAAAGGAGGGUACAAAAACGUUCCAGAUGUCAGAAAGAAAGAGAGAGAACAAAGUUUCCUUCAUUAGAUGUGACAUGUCUAUUUGAAUUAAUAAUAUUGCAACAGUGAUGGCAUUCAUAUUGUGAUCAAAUGCCAUCAAUUUGAAUAUAUAUUGGUCAAUAUGUGUAAUUUCAUUUUACUGGGAGAUCAAAAAGGGGAUGGUUAACAUGGGCGGAAGGUGAUUCUGUGCAGCAAUAAGGAGAGAAUACCAUCUUUGGCUUACAUUGAGAAACAGUGAGGAGCUGGCAAAAUUUUGGUGGCUUUACUCUUAGCAGCGGCUGUUAAAAGAUAGAUCAAGCAUUGCAAAAUUAAAAUCAUGGCUGACAAUUAUUUUGAGCAUAGCAUUCAGUGCUUGAUGUGGAAAGUCUCAAUGAACUGCUUGGUGGUUAUUAGCAGCACUUGGCUGCUUUCAGGGAGGCCGUUUAAGUGCACAUGUCGAGGAACUUUAUUUUCCUUCAUGCGCAAACUCUAAUUCUAGAUUGGGUUCUAAUCAUUGCAUAGGAAUCGUCAUCAGUGUCGGAAGUCCACAGUCUAUACACAAUAGUUUUUCACUUCCCUUUUCAAUGCAGACCUUUAUCUAGCUGCUAAUGAAAUACAGGAGAUUGAUUGCAGAAAACCUGCAAGGGCAUAUUUGCUGUGCCAUAUAUAGUAAGCCCCAUUUGGUACAUUAGCAUUUAGCCAUUUUAUGCAAAUUUAGUGAGAAAAUGACUCGUGUAUAUGAUUUAAUAUGCAUCAGCGAUGUAA